rnacentral:rRNA from 1 species
UACGAAGGGGGCUAGCGUUGUUCGGAAUCACUGGGCGUAAAGCGUACGUCGGCGGAUGAAUAAGUCAGGGGUGAAAGCCUGGGGCUCAACUCCAGAACUGCCUUUGAUACUGUUUGUCUUGAGUCCGGGAGAGGUGAGUGGAACUGCUAGUGUAGAGGUGAAAUUCGUAGAUAUUAGCAAGAACACCAGUGGCGAAGGCGGCUCACUGGCCCGGUACUGACGCUGAGGUACGAAAGCGUGGGGAGCAAACAGG